CUAUGGCAGUUUUUCCAUUUCAUUCAAUUCGAUUCAAAGCCAUCUGCGAACUGUGAAAUGAGAGAGCGAAUGGCCCUUUGAGGGCUAACUCAAUGGCAAUGGGAAUGGAGGAAAUAAACGAAAGAAAAGACAGAGCCGCAGGUGCGAAUAAAAUGCUGAAUUUGUGUGCAUUUUGUAGGACGCGUUUAGCUUGGUGAAUUUCCUCGAAAGAAAUUGAAAAACAUUUACCACAAACAUACGUGAGAGUCGAACGGGAAUUGGCCAAAAAAAAAUGAAGCGAAAAUGGCAAGCGGAUGAAAAACUAACCCUGGGAAAGCAACAGCCCAACCAAAGGUGGAAAAAGCAUACGGCUGCUGGCUAAGCACCUAAGUGCCAAGCAUAUGUCUUCUCCCAACAAAAAAUCAGAGAAAAAAAAAACAAAAAAAAAACAGAAUAGACACAAGAAGCUAUUUGGACGCACUGCACCCCCACCACUCGCCUCUAGCACCCUCUGGUCACACAAUAGCGCUUUAAACUUUUUUCGCCAUGCAAUAGGCAUAUAGAGCCGCUUCUUGCAGUCCCUGCCAUAUAUAAUGCUCUGCAGAGGUGUAUCCAUUGUCCGCAGGACUCCACCCAGAUGGAACAAUAUGGACACAACAAGAUUUUCGUCUCCUACCAAAAACUGGACGAGAAUUUUUAACGUUGAAAUUUUUGUUAUGCAUGAGGGAAUGUUUGUAAAAUGGUGUUUGGAUAGUCAUGACAACAACUGAGAAUGUGGCUUGUAAAAACUGUUACAGAUGAAUUCUUUAAUUCCACUAAGGACUGUAAUUGGUUUAUAAUAACGACGAGCUAAACUUUCGAUAGAGUGGCAUUUUAUUAUAAAAUCUUUGGCUUACAUGUAAAAUUAAUGUAUUAAAAAGUCAAAAAGAUAUUUUGAAGAUAACAUGACAACAGUAAAUUCUUUAGAAAAGUAAAAAUCUUAUCAAGAAAUAAAAAUGUAAUAAAAAUGGG